UCUCACAAACUCUGGGCACUUGUCCUCCCAUGGCUCCUCCAAAGACCUCACCUGAGCCCCUCCUGCCACCACCUGGAGGCUCCCAGGGCCCCCCUCCAGUGCUCUGGGCCCUUCAGGUGAGUCUGGGGGUGGUGGUUAUAGGCUCUGGAUGGGGAAGUGGUGGUGAGGGGCAGGGAGGGGUGACCUGCUCAGGCCCCAGGGGAGCCCCUAAUCCCAGGUCCGGAGAGCUGCCCAGGGGGCCUGCUCAGCAUCUCGUGCCAGGCGCUGAGGUGAGGGCGGAGUUGUUCAUGGCCCCCUCAUCCGGCCUGGAGGCUUUGGGUCUCCACACUGAGUCCUCGAGGGAGAGACCCGGGGGCUCCCGUGAACACCUGUGACCCGGCUCGGCGGGGGGAGAGGCCGGGCCACAUGUUGCUGGGGACCUGAGGUGCUGUCAUGUAGGUAGGUGUGUCCCCAGAGCCUGGGUCCGGCCACCAUGGGCAGGUGAGGGAAGGGGUCCCCUGGGCACUGCAGGCCUGGUGGGGGAUGCUGGGCCACCUGGGGCUCCUCUUCCCCUCGAGAGGAGAGCGGGGCCGGUGGUGGAGCUGGGCCAGUCAGGCCAGUGUUACGCUUGACCCGAGGGCCUCGUGGCCCAUCCCGACCCAAGAGGGGGACACUGAGGCCCAGAGACCUGGUGUCCUGCUCAUGGUCUCGUUCUGGGGCAGUGCCGGGACCUCAGUCCUUCCCCUGCUCUGACACCCUGUCUGCUUUCACCUCCCCCCACCCCUCAGACUGAGCGCCGCCGCCUCCAGGAAGCCCUCUGCUUUGUCUUUCCCUCCACCUGCGCCAGUCUCGCCAGCGAAGUUAGCGCUGCCAUCUCACCCGCUUGUGUUCACGCGUUCUGUCCCCUUCCCUCCUCGCGCUGGGCCUGUCCUGAGUCUCUGACCUCGGCGCCAUUACUUCCUUGUGUCCAGGUCUCUGUACCUGCGGCUCUGCAUUGGGCUAUCUGCCUCGCCCACCCAGGGAAAGCAGCCACUGCGCAGGCGCGGGGAGAGGGCGGUGGCUUCUGGCGCCCCCUGCCGGCAGUGCCGGUCCCCUGCAUCAGAUUCCCCAUCCCGGUGCCCUGGCCAGUCGCGGGGCGGGGGUGGGGCUGGAGCCAGGAGGCCGGGCAGUACCAAAUCAUGGCCCCCUCAUGCUGCCAGCACCUUCUCACCCCUGCGUGGAGCAGGACCUUCGCCAGGGUCCAAGGAUGCCAAGGAUGCCAGGCGGCCUGCAGAGUAGCAGUGGGCUGGGCCGGAGCUGGGGCAGCCGGGGUGGAGCGGGUGAGCAGCCUCGCUGUAGCCCGAGGCCCUCGGAGCUGCACUUCCAGAGGCCCCUGGGAGGCCCCCCCGGGACCCUCUCCAGUGUGGCCGAACUGCCCCUGACACAGGCCUCCUCCUGAGCCACCCUGGCUGCUGUGAGCUCCGUGGUCAGGGCUUUGGGCUGAUGCUCAACUAGCUCAAUUUAAGCAAGUUCUUCAGAUCCUGGACAACCUUAGUAAGAAAAGGAAACACCAAGGCACCAAGAAGAGGUAAGACACUCCGGCUUUCUCCUCAUGUAUUCUGAGUGGCUGUGGUUUCCCAGGAGUCUAAAGGAUGUGCAUGUACCUUCUGUGUCAAUAUAUUCAUUCAUUUUUGAAAAAACAAAAAAGUGCCUUUAGGAGAAGUUAAUACAAAUAACAUAUGUGCUUUAAAAAUCAAGGGAGAGACCACCUGCUUCCAGCCUGGGCCCAAACGUGGGAGGUGAUAGGACCCACUGAGGGAUUUGGCGAGUGAAAAAGAUCUAAGGGAAGUGGUCAUGUUGGCCGAGGUCUUCAAACCCU